rnacentral:ncRNA from 1 species
UGCUCAGGUGCCUCGUUUUGACGAGGAGAAUAGGGAACCGUGUGAGAAUCACGGACUGUCGCGCAACUGUAAUCACCAGAAGGGUUUUGCCACUAAUGUCCACUGUCCAGGGGAUGGGAAGGACGGCAAAAUGGUGAAAGUCAGGAUACCUGCCUUUGCGGAUU